rnacentral:misc_RNA from 1 species
UUUCCGUAGGUGAACCUGCGGAAGGAUCAUUCAUAAUAAAGUGUUUUAUGGCACUUUUUAAAAGUCCAUAUCCACCUUGUGUGCAAUGUUAGAUCUCGUCAAUCUUGGCGAGAUUUUUAUACAUCAACUCAUUCUUUAACUAAUUUGUCUGAAAAAUAUUAUGAAUACUUAAUUCAAAAUACAACUUUCAACAACGGAUCUCUUGGCUCUU